rnacentral:rRNA from 1 species
GACGAACGCUGGCGGCGUGCUUAACACAUGCAAGUCGAACGGAAAGGCCCUGCUUUUGUGGGGUGCUCGAGUGGCGAACGGGUGAGUAACACGUGAGUAACCUGCCCUUGACUUUGGGAUAACUUCAGGAAACUGGGGCUAAUACCGGAUAGGAGCUCCUGCUGCAUGGUGGGGGUUGGAAAGUUUCGGCGGUUGGGGAUGGACUCGCGGCUUAUCAGCUUGUUGGUGGGGUAGUGGCUUACCAAGGCUUUGACGGGUAGCCGGCCUGAGAGGGUGACCGGCCACAUUGGGACUGAGAUACGGCCCAGACUCCUACGGGAGGCAGCAGUGGGGAAUAUUGCACAAUGGGCGGAAGCCUGAUGCAGCAACGCCGCGUGCGGGAUGACGGCCUUCGGGUUGUAAACCGCUUUCGCCUGUGACGAAGCGUGAGUGACGGUAAUGGGUAAAGAAGCACCGGCUAACUACGUGCCAGCAGCCGCGGUGAUACGUAGGGCGCGAGCGUUGUCCGGAUUUAUUGGGCGUAAAGGGCUCGUAGGUGGUUGAUCGCGUCGGAAGUGUAAUCUUGGGGCUUAACCCUGAGCGUGCUUUCGAUACGGGUUGACUUGAGGAAGGUAGGGGAGAAUGGAAUUCCUGGUGGAGCGGUGGAAUGCGCAGAUAUCAGGAGGAACACCAGUGGCGAAGGCGGUUCUCUGGGCCUUUCCUGACGCUGAGGAGCGAAAGCGUGGGGAGCGAACAGGCUUAGAUACCCUGGUAGUCCACGCUGUAAACGGUGGGUACUAGGUGUGGGGUCCAUUCCACGGGUUCCGUGCCGUAGCUAACGCUUUAAGUACCCCGCCUGGGGAGUACGGCCGCAAGGCUAAAACUCAAAGGAAUUGACGGGGCCCCGCACAAGCGGCGGAGCAUGCGGAUUAAUUCGAUGCAACGCGUAGAACCUUACCUGGGUUUGACAUGGAUCGGGAGUGCUCAGAGAUGGGUGUGCCUCUUUUGGGGUCGGUUCACAGGUGGUGCAUGCCUGUCGUCAGCUCGUGUCGUGAGAUGUUGGGUUAAGUCCCGCAACGAGCGCAACCCUUGUUCACUGUUGCCAGCACGUUAUGGUGGGGACUCAGUGGAGACCGCCGGGGUCAACUCGGAGGAAGGUGGGGAUGACGUCAAGUCCUCAUGCCCCUUAUGUCCAGGGCUUCACGCAUGCUACAAUGGCUGGUACAGAGAGUGGCGAGCCUGUGAGGGUGAGCGAAUCUCGGAAAGCCGGUCUCAGUUCGGAUUGGGGUCUGCAACUCGACCUCAUGAAGUCGGAGUCGCUAGUAAUCGCAGAUCAGCAACGCUGCGGUGAAUACGUUCCCGGG